GACCAGCCAGGAAUAACAUAUAGUGAAACCCCAUCUCUACUAAAAAAUACAAAAAUUCGUUGGCUGUGGUGACCCACACCUGGAAUCCCCGCUACCUGGGACACAGAGGCAGGAGAAUAGCUUGAACCUGGGAGGCCGAGGUUGCAGUACGGAGAUCAUGCCUCUCUACUCCAGCCUGGGCAAAAGAGCGAGAUUCCAUCUCUCAAAAAACCAAAACUAACAACAGCAACAACAACAAAAACCCCUUUAGACACAAAAGUCCAAAUUUUCAAAAGUAUACCUAUUUCAAUUGUGACUAAAAACCAACAAGCCUUUUCAUGGCUUAAAACCAAAAAGCCUUUUAUGGCUUAACCAUGGGCUCAAGAAGUGCCUCCAAAAGAGGGUGCAAAAACACAGUGUCCCCUCCUCACUGAGAUUGCUCCGGCGAUAGCCUUAGAAUGACCAGACCUUUUUAAACAAGGCAAUAAAGUUGGCACAAUUAGGACAAACUCCCCAAAGAGCUGGCACAGUGGGACAAAGAGAUAAACUUUGUUUCUGGAUUCCUAGCCAGCUGGCUAGCCGCCUCAAGCAAGCCUGACGACCUGUGAUUUCUCUUAGCAAAGACCAGAGAAUAUCCUCACUGGUCCCCAAGACAAGCUCUCAAGACAUAAAACAAGAUGAAAGCAAAAUCUUAUGAUUUUCCUCCUUAUGACAAACUACGCAAAAGACAGAGACAAGGAAAACAAGGACCACUCCUGGGAGGCUGUGAUUAAAAACCAGUGGGUACUCAGAACCAAAUUCACAAGAGUCACAGUUCGAAGAAUUAAGUCUCAUAAAUGUUUUCUCCUACCAAUCUGAAUUGGAAAGAAGACAAAAAACCAUGUUUACCUCCCUUUCUUGACUGGCCACUAUGGACAGAGAUCUAAGAGCUGACUAGGCCGUGCUCCCUUCACGCCCAGCUGUCCUGUAGAAUGGCAGCCUCAAUGUUUACCAAGCUAUACCUCCUUCCUUUGAUGCCUUUAGUUCAACUAAAAGAGGAUACAAGUUUCCAAAUUAACUGCAUUACAAACAUGAAGAUGGGAAAGUGAACAGAGGGAAGAUGAGGACAGGCCAACCCCAAGGGCCGGCGCUGCUGCCUUAUCUUGCUCCUGAAGCCCCUUCCUCUCCUGGCCUCUCUGGAGAAGCUCCCCUAAAGUUCCUCUCCCCACCCCCAGGGCUAGGCUACAGCCACCUCCUAGGUAGACAGUGGGAGACUACAGAACCACAGGCCCCUCCACAUACCCUUGGCCUUGACAGGGCUGCGAUUGUCCGCCCACUCUCUACUCCGCCUGCAGUCGGGGAUCACCUUUGGCUUCCCUCUGGGCUCCAUACCCUGCCCUGUUCCCCUUCUUGCCACAUCAGCACUGUUCCUUAGUUGACAAAAGCCUCCCUAUGCUUCUGAACACCUCCUACCCCUAGUUAAAUCGGGAUAGGCUCUGCCCAGCUCUGGCCCUAGGUGUCUCUCUCUGUCUCACAGCCUUUCGUGAGAAUUCCUAUUCAUUCCCAGACUGCACUCAGCACAAAACGAACCUUCCCGUUUAUUCCAAUAGACGCCGUGCCUGCUGGUGGGAGCAUUUCUCUCCCUUUCUCAGAUAGUUUAGGGCAGAACCAUCCUUGCACAAUCUCAUUCUCGUCUCCAUUUUGGUUGCCUCUUACAAAACCAUAGCUCAGCUUCUUUUUUAUUCAAUAUUAAAGCAGAAAAGUCAG